rnacentral:rRNA from 1 species
CGUGUAGGCGGUUGGUCAAGUCUGGUGUGAAAGCCCGGGGCUUAGCCCCGGAAGUGCGCUGGAAACUAGCCAACUUGAGCGCGAUAGAGGAGGGUGGAAUUCCUGGUGUAGCGGUGAAAUGCGUAGAUAUCAGGAGGAACACCGGCGGCGAAGGCGGCCCUCUGGGUCGUUGCUGACGCUGAGACGCGAAAGCAUGGGGAGCAAACAGGAUUAGAUACCCUGGUAGUCCACGCUGUAAACUAUGGGUACUAGGUGUUCGGGGUGUUGACCCCCUGAGUGCCGACGCUAACGCAUUAAGUACCCCGCCUGGGGACUACGGCCGCAAGGCUAAA